rfam:Medicago truncatula strain A17 chromosome 7, whole genome shotgun sequence.
CUCAUAAGUAAUAAAAGGUCCGUUUAGGUCCCUUAACUUUAUUUAAAGUAUCAGUUUGAUCAUUUAUGUUAAUUUAAUUAAAAAAAACGUUAAGUUUAUGAACCAAACUAAUACUAAUUAAAUAAGAUAAGGGAUCAAAAUUUAACAUUUUUUUAAAUUAAAUUAACAGAAAGGACCAAACCAAUACUUUCAAUAAAGUUAAGGGACUAAAACGGACCUUUUAUUAUUUAUGGAA